GUCGAAGCUGCAUUUCAUCGCGUGUCGCGCAGAGGCUCACCCCUUCCACACACACACACGCGCACGCCCUAUCUAUGCAUCAGCAAGCCCGGAUGACGGGGGAGCGCCUCAGCGCGUGGUAUCGUAGGGCACAGUAUCUCCUGUGUGUAGGGAGAAGCCAGGCAGCCGCCCCCCUUCCCUAUCCACGGCCAAUGCCGCACCGCAUCUGGUGGUGACAGGGUCCAGUGCCUACGACAUAAGGAAGUCAGAGCGAUGCAUCGCUGCUGAUGUGGGCGGUCAGUUCGUGGACGGCGCUGCGUCGAACCUACCUGCGACAGUGAGCACGUUUCUAUAAUCUAGAUGAUAUGCAGAGUGGCAGCGCGACUCGAACGCAUUCCACCUGCCUCUCACAUGGUCUGACAGUGAGGAGCCUGCACCACCCAAAGAGGGGGGCGCGCCACGUGGCGACCAGCAUGAUGGGUGAGCGGCUGUGAGGCAACCAUCGAGGCGGCAGGUGUGGAUAGAGUUCGACGCCGAGCCUGUGCUGAGGUGGCUGAGUCGGCGCAUUGCUUUAAUGCGUGUGUUCACAGCUACCUCGCGCCACGCGAUUGGGGCUCGUGGCAGGGCCGGGGGUUAAAGUGGAGUUUGACUCGCGUUCUGUAUCGGAGCAGGUACAUUGAAAAGGAAAGACACGUUGCUCUGCUUAACUUUUGUACGUAUUCCUCGAGACACAACAGCGCGAUGAAAUCGGGGGCGCGGCCGAGUUUUCCGGUUCUUUGUCCAGUGGAAGUGAUAUGCUUGUUCUGCUUGUCAGCACUGCUUCUCGUAGCCAUUGUUCUCUGCGAAAGGUCCCCAGGAACCUUAUGGUGCCCGCCUCUAUCGUUGGUUUCACUGUCCGUGGCUCCCGAGUAACGCCCCCAACCACCCCUUCACAUUUCCACGUGGUGAGAGUGGAAGCUGAAAAAGCGGGCGGCUCCGCACUCUCGCCAGUGCGCACAGGAACAAGUGUGUAUAUAUAUACGUAUCGAUGCUCUUGAAUGAGAGGCGCGCUAUUCCUGCGGGGAUGGCCCUCAAUGUGU
rnacentral:misc_RNA from 1 species